rnacentral:rRNA from 1 species
GCCGGGCGACGGUUGUCCCGGUUUAAGCGUGUAGGCUGGUUUUCCAGGCAAAUCCGGAAAAUCAAGGCCGAGGCGUGAUGACGAGGCACUACGGUGCUGAAGCAACAAAUGCCCUGCUUCCAGGAAAAGCCUCUAAGCAUCAGGUAACAUCAAAUCGUACCCCAAACCGACACAGGUGGUCAGGUAGAGAAUACCAAGGCGCUUGAGAGAACUCAGGUGAAGGAACUAGGCAAAAUGGUGCCGUAACUUCGGGAGAAGGCACGCUGAUACGUAGGUGAAGCGACUUGCUCGUGGAGCUGAAAUCAGUCGAAGAUACCAGCUGGCUGCAACUGUUUAUUAAAAACACAGCACUGUGCAAACACGAAAGUGGACGUAUACGGUGUGACGCCUGCCCGGUGCCGGAAGGUUAAUUGAUGGGGUUAGCGCAAGCGAAGCUCUUGAUCGAAGCCCCGGUAAACGGCGGCCGUAACUAUAACGGUCCUAAGGUAGCGAAAUUCCUUGUCGGGUAAGUUCCGACCUGCACGAAUGGCGUAAUGAUGGCCAGGCUGUCUCCACCCGAGACUCAGUGAAAUUGAACUCGCUGUGAAGAUGCAGUGUACCCGCGGCAAGACGGAAAGACCCCGUGAACCUUUACUAUAGCUUGACACUGAACAUUGAGCCUUGAUGUGUAGGAUAGGUGGGAGGCUUUGAAGUGUGGACGCCAGUCUGCAUGGAGCCGACCUUGAAAUACCACCCUUUAAUGUUUGAUGUUCUAACGUGGACCCGUAAUCCGGGUUGCGGACAGUGUCUGGUGGGUAGUUUGACUGGGGCGGUCUCCUCCUAAAGAGUAACGGAGGAGCACGAAGGUUGGCUAAUCCUGGUCGGACAUCAGGAGGUUAGUGUAAUGGCAUAAGCCAGCUUGACUGCGAGCGUGACGGCGCGAGCAGGUGCGAAAGCAGGUCAUAGUGAUCCGGUGGUUCUGAAUGGAAGGGCCAUCGCUCAACGGAUAAAAGGUACUCCGGGGAUAACAGGCUGAUACCGCCCAAGAGUUCAUAUCGACGGCGGUGUUUGGCACCUCGAUGUCGGCUCAUCACAUCCUGGGGCUGAAGUAGGUCCCAAGGGUAUGGCUGUUCGCCAUUUAAAGUGGUACGCGAGCUGGGUUUAGAACGUCGUGAGACAGUUCGGUCCCUAUCUGCCGUGGGCGCUGGA